CUUACCUGCAAAUGAAUGGCUUUGUUUAAGAUUUUAAUGUAUGUUUUAUCACCCCUGUCCAAAACAACAUUUACAAAAUAUGAUGCUACAGCAUAAAUUAAUCGGUCAGUUCCAUGAUCACCUCUACCUUCACUUGUGAACAAGAAUGUUUUAAGUAACACUCCUGGAAACUGUCUCUGCUUAGAAAUAUUGAAAUUCAUGUAUUAGUUCUUCCCAAGAAAAGCAGCCAUGAAAACUCUUCUGAACUUAAUAAAUGAACUAUUUCAGAAACAAAGGCAAUCAUUAACUGUUUCCAGUACAACCUCUUUUACCAUUUUGGUGUUUAACUCCUUUAGGGCUAAAUGUUGACAUGUAGCCUUGGGGGCGGAUGUUGACUAAAGUCGACCUCCAGGGGCAAAGGGGAAAAAAAAAAGUUGUAAACGUUGAUGAACUCACCGUUAUGUUAUAGGUAGACCUUCUUUGCUAGGAGGACUGUUAGACUCUUUGACUUGAUGUCAAAUCCCUGUGUUUACCUGAGUAUCGUAGUCUAAACAACAUCUAGAACGGCAGUGACAUUGGGUGAGGGAGCGAAUCGAAUGUGCAAAGCAAAAUACUCUGUGUUUAUUAUUUAUUUUUUAUGUAUUAUUGCUGAAUCAAACCCUAAUUUAUCAAACUCUGAUUUUGAUUGAAGUGAUGUGAAGAUCGAAAAACAAAAGUCAGGUACCUGCCUCAGCUGAUCGGUCCCCAGCUGAUCAUGCAGCUGAUGUGCCUAUAGCAACGUUCGCCUGGGAGAACUACACAGACACUUAUCGAACUCCGAUUUUGAUGCAAAUGAUAUGGAAAUUAAAAAACGAAAGACAGGUAACUUCAUCAGUUGAUUGGUUCCAGAUGAUCAAGGAUUACACAGACAUAGAUCCGUGGGAGGCAAACUGGCAGCUGGACUUUAUCAAAUGACACGGUGUGGUAGUGGACACUGCAGAUUACCAGCCGCUUGACUACUUUAAGCUGUUUUUUUCCAGAAAGUGCCUUUCAGCUUAUGAGGGAUGAGACAAACAGAAUCCAACUGCCUACUCCAAAAUAAAAAUCUGAGGACAUGUGGAUACACAGAAGGACAGGAGGAUGUGCUAUUUGGACAAUAUAUCCUGUAGCUAUGAUGGAUGUGUAACUAUUAGAAAUGUUCAACAGUUUGAUGAAAUUAGUUUAUUUUAUGAGUAUUAUUCAAUAUCUAGAUUUUAUUUAAAAUGUGUGUGAGAGUUGAAGUGUGAGAAUAUGGGUUUCUUUUUAAAAAUUGCACAUAAAAGGAAAACUGCACAAUUUCAAGUAUUAUAGUUUCAAACUUAUUAACACCUAAAAAACAACACAUUCCUUAAAACAAUUUUACCUUUCCUAUGCAUACCGUAAGUAUUUACAUGGGAAAAGUAUUAUGAUGGGAUAUAAAAUGUUGACUUCUUUGCAGAUUUUGAUAGCAAGUGAAAAUGAUUUUGACUUUCUGUGCACAUUGGCCUGAGAUAUUUUAGGUCUAAAAUCAGAACUUUAUGUAGUGAAAAACCCAUGUCUUGCACACCUUAGAUUUUUUUUACAUAUCUUUUCAAUUAAUUUAUAUCAUCAACUAUUACAACAGAGGUUUGGUGUCCAUGUAUAUUUCCAAACUAGCUUAUAAAAGAUUUCUAAAAUAUCAAAUAUAUAUACAUCUGAGUUCAAACAACGGUAGUUUCUUUUUAAAUUGUAUGUAAAUCACUUUUGGUCCAGAAAGCACAUAAUGAAUCUAUGCUUGCUUUAUCUUUAAAAGGAAAUCUCAUGAUAAAAGCUAAACAAAAUGGUAACAGCAUGUUGCAAUACUUGUAUCACCUUUAUUGUAAUAUUCUGUGUAUUUUCAUUAUGGUGUUCUUCCAUUUUAAAGAACAAAUAAAGACAAUAUGCAACAUG